UGCAGUGGCAGCCGUGGCUGGAACCUUC
rnacentral:piRNA from 1 species